AUCUUGGACAGAUAGUUACAAAUGAGGCAGAACCUGGUGUUUUCUGUGAACUUCUCAAUCACUGGGAGGAAAACCAAACACCUCACCUCAGAUUCCACCCUGACUGUCCAGAGGGACCUCGGAAGGUUUAACAAGGUGGAGGGUCUGCCAGUAGAUUAGGAAAUUAAGCCUUAUCCUCACUGAAUGACGGACUCCCAAUCUGGAACGGAAGCCAGCAGUAGAGGACAACGAGAUGACAGAGACCAGCCAUACUUGGGGUGCUGAAGGGGACACAGCUACAGAGCAGUCUUACUGAAUCACGGGACUAAGAGGUGCCUCCUGAUGGGAAGAUAAUCUCACACCCAGAAUUCCUGGCUUUCAGUACACUCCUUGGCCAACGUGUCAGAUGGGGCAGCAAGUCUUACCUCGCCUCAAGGCAUUCUGGGCAUCUUGAGUCAUGGCAUCAGCUUCAUCCAGGAUCACAAGCUUAAAGCCUUUCCUAGGAGAACAAACACAUGCUGAGACAGUGGCCAAAGGGAAGAUUAAUAGCGACGCUAUGCCCCGACUUCAUGCACUAAGACCUCUGGGGUGAGAAAUACAUAUAAUUCUUACUUGAAGAUUGUCCUUGUGCUGGCAAAGCUGAGGAUUGGCCCCCGGACAAUGUCUAUUCCUCGGUCAUCAGAUGCAUUCAGCUACACUCGGAAGACAGGCUGCAGUGAAAAUCACACCCUGUGCCAGCUAUGAAGUCCUGGCUGGAAACUGUCUUUUCAGCACUCCAGUAAUGCCAGCUAGCUCACUAGGUCUAAUGACAGCUAAGAUACAAUUAUUCAGCAGCACAACACUAUCAUAUAACAUCCUAAAAGGCAUAUGACCUGUCUCCCACCCGUUAAGGACCAUCCACAUAAAUUUAUGAAACAAACACAGGGCCUGGUGACCCUGAACCAGUACCUUGGCUGUGAGAAAAUGAUGCUAAUUUUAGUUCUCACCACCUGGAGGCCAUCAGGUUUUGAAUAAGCUAAAGAAAGAACACUGGACUACAAAGGGCUGAGCCUCAUGUCUACUGUGUAAGUCAAAUGCUUUUGAGUGAGGGUCUUUUGUCCUCAGAUUGGUCUUGAACUCACAUAGCCUAAAGAUGACCACAACUAAGGAUCAAACCCAGGACUUUGUGUAUGGUAGUCUCUACCAACUGAGCUACAUCCCUAGUCCCCCAAAUGCUUUUCUUCCAACAUAACAUUCAGAUUUUUGUAAUCUAAGGGUAUUAAGAUUAUCAGCCAAGGUCCCAACAUCCACAGACUACAUAUCUCAGUAUAGUAAUCUAAGAUGAUCCAGAUGAAGAAACUGACAUUUUAAAAGUGUUUGUUGAGUCUACAGCAAUGGUUCUCAAUCUGUGGGUCAUGACCCCUUUGGAGGGACAUCUAAUAGACCCUUUCACAGGUGUCA